AACUUUUGGCAAUGGAUCACUUGGCUCUCGCAUCGAUGAAGAACGCAGCGAAAUGCGAUAAGUAAUGUGAAUUGCAGACCUUGUGAAUCAUCGAAUCUUUGAACGCACAUUGCGCCCAUUGGUAUUCCGAUGGGCAUGCCUGUUCGAGCGUCAUUAUCAACCGUCAAGCCUGGCUUGCUAUUGGACUUGCUGUCCGGCUGAAGGACACGUCCCAAAGACAACGACCGUGUCGAGUGUGACCCCAGAUGCAAUGAGCUUUGUUAAGCACGCAUGUAAGGGGCCGCCCGGCCCGGCCUCAACCAUUUUUCUCAGGUUGACCUCGGAUCAGGUAGGGAUACCCGCUGAACUUAAGCAUAUCAAUAAGCGGAGGC
rnacentral:misc_RNA from 1 species